CCGUCUUCGCACGCAUGGCGGCCUCCACGCUCCCCGCGUGGCUGGUUCUGCAGCCGGGGGCCAGGACCCUGCGGGCCUUCUCCACCGCCGUGUCUCUGGUCACUGGCGCUCCCGCACCAAGCCCGUGUACAACAGAAAGAACAUCCAAACAUGAAAGGCCACUGAGAAGAAAGGCACUACCUCCUAGGACAGAGAAAAUGGCUGUUGACCAGGACUGGCCUAGUGUUUACCCUGUUGCAGUACCAUUUAAGCCCUCUGCAGUACCUCUUCCUAUUCGAAUGGGUUAUUCAGUAAAACAGGGGGUGCCCAUGGCAAAGGAGGGAAAUCUAGAACUUUUAAAGAUCCCCAAUUUUCUGCAUUUGACUCCUGUAGCAAUUAAAAAGCACUGUGAAGCUCUUAAAGAUUUCUGCACUGAGUGGCCAGCUGCACUGGACAGUGAUGAGAAAUGCGAGAAGCAUUUUCCAGUUGAAAUUGAAACAGCUGAUUAUGUUUCAUCAGGACCAUCUGUUCGAAACCCCAAAGCACGAGUAGUAACCUUAAGGGUUAAACUUUCCAGUUUGAAUUUAGAUGAUCAUGCAAAGAAGAAACUUAUUAAACUUGUAGGGGAGCGAUACUGCAAGACCACAGAUGUGCUUACCAUCAGAACAGAUAGGUGCCCUUUAAAGAGACAGAAUUAUGAUUAUGCAGUGUAUCUGCUAACAGUUUUAUACCAUGAGUCUUGGAAAACCGAAGAAUGGGAGAAAAAUAAGACUGAAGCAGACAUGGAAGAGUAUGUAUGGAAAAAUAGCUCCUCAGAAAAAAAUGUCCUGGAAAUACUUCUCCAAAUUAAAGCUGCUGAGAAAAAUCUGGAAUUAAAUAAAGAAGAGCUCCUUGGUACUAAAGAAGUUGAAGAUUACGGAAAGUCUGUUGUCACUCUUAAGAACGAGGGGGACAAUGAAAAUACCCUUUCUCAGUACAAAGAAUCAGUGAAGAGACUGUUAAAUUUGACAUGAAUUAUGUAGAAAAAUCUGCUUGAUUUAUUAAUUUUGUGAUAUAUAUGUAAU